GACGAACGCUGGCGGCGUGCUUAACACAUGCAAGUCGAACGGAAAGGCCCUGCUUUUGUGGGGUGCUCGAGUGGCGAACGGGUGAGUAACACGUGAGUAACCUGCCCUUGACUUUGGGAUAACUUCAGGAAACUGGGGCUAAUACCGGAUAGGAGCUCCUGCUGCAUGGUGGGGGUUGGAAAGUUUCGGCGGGUGGGGAUGGACUCGCGGCUUAUCAGCUUGUUGGUGGGGUAGUGGCUUACCAAGGCUUUGACGGGUAGCCGGCCUGAGAGGGUGACCGGCGACAUGGGGACUGAGAUAGGGCGCAGACUCGUACGGGAGGCAGCAGUGGGGAAUAUUGCACAAUGGGCGGAAGCCGGAUGCAGCAACGCCGCGUGCGGGAUGACGGCCUUCGGGGUGUAAACCGCUUUCGCCUGUGACGAAGCGUGAGUGACGGUAAUGGGUAAAGAAGCACCGGCUAACUACGUG
rnacentral:rRNA from 1 species